UACGGGGGGAGCAAGCGUUGUUCGGAUUUACUGGGCGUAAAGGGCGCGUAGGCGGUCAGCACAAGUCAGUUGUGAAAUCUCCGGGCUUAACUCGGAAAGGUCAACUGAUACUGUGCGACUAGAGUGCGGAAGGGGCAACUGGAAUUCUCGGUGUAGCGGUGAAAUGCGUAGAUAUCGAGAGGAACACCAAUUGCGAAGGCAGCUCGCUGGGACGUAACUGACGCUGAGACGCGAAAGCGUGGGGAGCAAACAGG
rnacentral:rRNA from 1 species